rnacentral:rRNA from 1 species
ACUCCUACGGGAGGCAGCAGUGGGGAAUAUUGCACAAUGGGCGCAAGCCUGAUGCAGCCAUGCCGCGUGUGUGAAGAAGGCCUUCGGGUUGUAAAGCACUUUCAGUCGUGAGGAAGGUAGUGUAGUUAAUAGCUGCAUUAUUUGACGUUAGCGACAGAAGAAGCACCGGCUAACUCCGUGCCAGCAGCCGCGGUAAUACGGAGGAUCCAAGCGUUAUCCGGAAUCAUUGGGUUUAAAGGGUCCGUAGGUGGACGAUUAAGUCAGAGGUGAAAUCUUGCAGCUCAACUGUAAAAUUGCCUUUGAUACUGGUUGUCUUGAGUUAUUAUGAAGUGGUUAGAAUAUGUAGUGUAGCGGUGAAAUGCAUAGAUAUUACAUAGAAUACCAAUUGCGAAGGCAGAUCACUAAUAAUAUACUGACACUGAUGGACGAAAGCGUGGGUAGCGAAACAGGAUUAGAUACCCUGGUAGGCUCUGCU